UUCUUGGAGAGUUUGAUCCUGGCUCAGGACGAACGCUGGCGGCGUGCCUAAUACAUGCAAGUCGAGCGAAUCAACAGGAG
rnacentral:rRNA from 1 species